UACGGAGGGUGCAAGCGUUAAUCGGAAUUACUGGGCGUAAAGCGUGCGUAGGCGGUUCGUUAAGUCUGUUGUGAAAGCCCCGGGCUCAACCUGGGAAUGGCAAUGGAUACUGGCGAGCUAGAGUGUGUCAGAGGAUGGUGGAAUUCCCGGGUGUAGCGGUGAAAUGCGUAGAGAAUCGGGAGGAACAUCAGUGGCGAAGGCGGCCAUCUGGGACACACUGACGCUGAGGCACGAAAGCGUGGGGAGCGAACCGG
rnacentral:rRNA from 1 species